AUGAAUAACUGACUAAAAACCGAUCGGUGGAUAGUAGGAAGUAAUUCGCUCUUUCCUUCGUAUUCCACGCAGACCCUGGUUCCAAGACGACUCAACGAGAGCAGCCGUUUUUCCUCCUCGUCUCGGCAGGGAUCCAUCGAUCAUGUACGGCCCCUGAUCCUGAAUUCCUGAUCAAUCUUGUCCUCUUCGGCUCUUCCUUCUAUCCGCACCGAUCAGCGAUCGUCCGAUACCCAUCGCCGUCCGCCGCCGCCCGCCACCGUUCGUCGUCUCGUCGAUUUUAUUUCCCGACUAUAGAAGCGCAGCACAUAUAUCUUUAACUCCUAGUCAAUUUGAAGAGGGUUGCGGGAGAUUUGCACAAACUUUCUCUCUCGAAGGUGAUUCAUGUGAUGUUGAGUGACUAUCGCAUCGGCUGCAAGGAGUUUUUCGAAAUUGAAAUUAUUGAAGAACUAUUUGAGGUCAAUAAUGACUCAACAGAGGUUAAAUAGUUUGGCAACAUUAUGCAUCGGAAGAAAUUAUUGCAUGAUAUCGACAUCGAUCCCAUCGUUAGUGACUUCGCAUCAAGAAAUAUU